GACGAACGCUGGCGGCGGGCUUAACACAUGCAAGUCGAACGGAAAGGCCCUGCUUUUGUGGGGUGCUCGAGUGGCGAACGGGUGAGUAACACGUGAGUAACCUGCCCUUGACUUUGGGAUAACUUCAGGAAACUGGGGCUAAUACCGGAUAGGAGCUCCUGCUGCAUGGUGGGGGUUGGAAAGUUUCGGCGGUUGGGGAUGGACUCGCGGCUUAUCAGCUUGUUGGUGGGGUAGUGGCUUACCAAGGCUUUGACGGGUAGCCGGCCUGAGAGGGUGACCGGCCACAUUGGGACUGAGAUACGGCCCAGACUCCUACGGGAGGCAGCAGUGGGGAAUAUUGCACAAUGGGCGGAAGCCUGAUGCAGCAACGCCGCGUGCGGGAUGACGGCCUUCGUGUUGUAAACCGCUUUCGCCUGUGACGAAGCGUGAGUGACGGUAAUGGGUAAAGAAGCACCGGCUAACUACGUG
rnacentral:rRNA from 1 species